rnacentral:lncRNA from 1 species
GGCGGGUGGAGGCACUGAGGGGCACAGAGGGACCGAGGAAUGACGAGGUGCUGUCUGGUCUGUUCUGUCCUGCUGCGGCGGAUGCCAAGGACGAGAUGACUUCUACCAUCAGAUUCCUUUGGUUCACGGUUCUGGAGGCUGGAGGUCCCAGAUGAAGGAAGACUCAGCUCGAGGGAGGCCUCCUUGCCGCGUCCUACCAUGGAGGAAGUCGUCACAAGGCAAACGAGAGCUGAACUCUGCUUCAUAACAAGCCAAACAUCUGUCCGUUCGUGGCAGAAGAGCCUUCAUCACGACCUGCCCGGUCACCUCGUGAAGGGCCCGCUCUCAACACCGUGGCAUUUUGCAGACUGAGUUUCUGACACAUGAACUUUGGGACACACCUUCCAGCCACGUUCCUGGCAGAGGUUGGGUGUCUGCGGAUCUGCCUGAUUUCAGGGUGUGCGUAUGUGUCGGACUGAGAGCGGUGCAUACAGAGCCCUGCAAACGCGACAACUUCCCAUUCAUCUCCCCCUUGCCUGGGAGGCCAAGGUCCCCGGAAAGACAAAGAGACACAGGCAAGGCAGGGAAGGCCCUGCCCAGGAACGGGGAGAGCCCAGCUGCUCGGCGUAAAUGUCCCACCCGCCACAUAUGGGGAACAUGUGGCCCCGCCCUGCUGGCGCCGGAGAGACGUCAUGCCGGGGAGGCUGGCAGCCGAGGACACAGAGCGUUCCCGGGAGGAACUGGC